rnacentral:rRNA from 1 species
UACGUAGGGUGCAAGCGUUGUCCGGAAUUAUUGGGCGUAAAGAGCUCGUAGGCGGUUUGUCACGUCGGCUGUGAAAACCCGAGGCUCAACCUCGGGCCUGCAGUCGAUACGGGCAGACUAGAGUAUGGCAGGGGAGACUGGAAUUCCUGGUGUAGCGGUGAAAUGCGCAGAUAUCAGGAGGAACACCGGUGGCGAAGGCGGGUCUCUGGGCCAUAACUGACGCUGAGACACGAAAGCGUGGGUAGCAAACAGG